GUUCUGGGCGGGGGAGAGAAAAUCGGCAGCCGGCUCCUGCAGCAGGGGUGCGGCAUGGGCACCAGUGGCCGCAGCUGCGUAGUGGGUCGCCGAGGACCCACACACAAUGGCUGCCAGAUAACGGCGGAGGGCAACGACCUCCUGAUAAUGGUGCCAGUUCAAGCAGCAGUAUCAUCAUGUGGAGGAAGAUAACAAAGUAACCAUCACAUCUACAAAACCAGAUUGUGUGUUGCAUUGAAGACUCAAAUCCCACAGGAGGAAUUGCUGUCAACAAUAUGAUUUUCUGAAAUAGUGAAGAACUCAUGAUAAAAUGCCCAAAGACACAAAAUGCAGUCUUCCCUCAAUUUACAUCGUUGCAUUUCUGGAAAAUUCAGCAUACAUGGAAACCAUGCAAAAGAUGGUGACACAGAGGUUCAAAGAGAACUUCUUUCUCCAAGAUCACGCAGGGUGGGAGUGGCUGAACUGGAAUUCAGACCCCAGUCUUCCUUCUCAUCAAAAGGAUGCAGAUACAAGAGGCUCUUUCUCUGUCUUCUUUAUCUUUCUUAGCAUCUGGUUUUAUCCCCCUCCCAGUGUGGAUGGCAGGGAGAGAAAGGAGAAAAAAGCUGGCAGUGAAUAGAAGCCGGCUGCUGAAGGGAAAGAACUCUAUCUUUUCUAGCGCAGAACAAAAGCUCCUGUUUUUUUUUGUUGUUUUUUUUUUUUUUAAAGAGCAACCUGUUUUCUUCAGAUCAUCCCGGCCCAGGGCCAGAAUGAGGCUUCAUUCAUUUGUUCGGAACUCUGCUCCCCACAGUGUGGAUCUUUAUUGUUUCUAGACAGACACAUCGCAUAGCACUUGGUUUUCUGUUCAGGUUGAAUUUUCAGAGUAAGUUCUUAUCUGGACCAUGGUGGAGAGUCCAGGCUCCCAGAAGUACAUUUCUUAUUUGAUACAUGAGACUCCCCCCUCCCAACGGGAUACCUGGAAAAAUGAGCCUGGUUCAUCGGUCUAGACAUAUCAUCUUCCUUAAUCAGUCUUCAGAGAGAUCUCCCUGGUGACUUCAUUGUAAUGGUUUCAAUAACAAGAGGACCUGAACUCAGCGCAGCCGUCCUAAGAGCAAGAAGGACCCUGAGGCCUGAGUAUACUUGUCGGAACUGUUCGGGGUUCCUCAAAACCUGACGCAGACCAGCCUCAGUGAAAAAAAGAAAGAUGGAAACAUUCAAGGACGACUGCUCAGGUUGGUGGAGCAUAACCACCACCCUGAGAAUGUCAGCCACACCUUGUGACUUCCUUCCAGGAGGACAGUAUGGAAGGAGCUGGAAAGUAACCACACGGUGGAGGGACUUGGCAACAGGGGUGGCCAGGGUGAGCACUGAGAAGGAAAAUGCCCUUGACAUUCAGAGGCUCGUCUGGCUCCCACAGCUAGACCGCGUUAGUCUCUGACAAGACGCCACGUCACAGAAAAUCAAACCCAAAGCUCUCCUGAGACCAUGAUAAGAUGAGACAAAGCAAGGCCACUUUAUACUGUUGUCUAAGUGCAGACAGAACCGAGGUCGCUAUGCCCCCCACAGAAUAGCGAACACUCCCCCCUCAGCCCCCAGGAGUGACUGCCCGUCUUUCCCAGGAUAGCUUUCCCCUGUGCUGGCCUCGCCUGCCCACCAUAAGAUUUAGAGAACUGCAUCUGUCCAUGUGUAGCUAGAUAAAUAUAGAUAAGGGUCAACACGCCUCCGGCUAGAGAUUUACUGUGUCCAUCUUAGGAAGAGGAGAAGAAAGACCAUAAAAAGAAAUAGCUGGUUCAAAAUCCAAAGUCUGAUUUUUAUGGAUGUGAGGUGUCCGGGCUGCUGCCGGAUCAGCACGGUUUGCAGCUAUGCUCGGACAGCUAGAGCUUUGUGCAAGAUUUCAACAGUGCUGGGCAGACCUACGGGAGGACGAGCCCAGCUCCACCAGGAAUGUGCCCUUAGAGGGAAGCAGCACUGGCCAUCACACACCUUCCUGACUGGGUGUUUUGUCACCGAGAGGUGUAUCCAUUCAGUAAUUCUAGUUAAUCUAACCAGAUCAUGUGAUUAUGUUUUAUUUUGUACGGUAUACAUCUGUGGUCUCCUCUUUGGUAUCAGUUGGUCACAAGAAUGUGAUUACUGGAAGGGGUGGGUAGGGGGGACUUGUGCUAGUCUCCUCUUCCUAUAGAUAAGAUUUAUUGAGAUACCAAUCAUAAAACUGCCCCGAUUUCUGACAGCAAUCGAAAGGAAACCCCCAAUUCCUUAGACCCGCCUCCAAAUCGCCCAACCAAAGCCCAAAGCCUAUCAUAGGUUGUUUCUAACACCCUCAUGGUGUGUGUUCUCCCUCACCACAGGGGGUGAUGGGCACAACUCGUUUAACUCCAGGUGUGUUCUUGGUGGUCUCUGAUGAAGGACAUUCACAACCUUGUCAGUGAUAAAUCAUGCACCCUUGAUAUCAUGCCAUGAGAAUGGUGCUUCACCUACCUCUGUGGUCUUCCUCCCAAAGCCCAUUACCCCAGUCCAACCACAAGAAAAGGCUCAGACAGACCAACACCGAGGGACAUAUUACAAAAUUCCUGACCAGUACUCCUCAACACUCCCGAGGCCAGUAAAAACAAGGGGGGUCUGGGAAAGUGUCACAGCCCAGAGAGGUCUAAGGAGACCUGAAGACUAAUGUAAUGUGGCAUCCCAGAUGAGAUCCUGGAACAGAGAAGGGACAUUAGGGGCAAACUAAUGAAAUGGAAAAGAGAAGUCAACAACAACAGUGACAAACAUUUUAAGAGGUAGAGUUGGCUUUAGGGCACAAUUAAAUGAUGUUGAUGAUGUUAUGUCUCUCCAUCUCCUAUUUCUCUGUGUUGGCUGGUCCUCAGCAGAUUUGUCCUACAUGGAGCAAUGAGGCCACUGCAGCGCCGGCCCAUGGGGUCCUAUGGGCUUGAGAACCCAGGGAGUAGGUUCUCCAGUUGACCCAUCCUCUCCUUGUGCUGUGAGCGGCCAGCUGGUUCAUAUGCUGCUUCCUGGACUAGGAUUCAGAGGUCAGCUCCACUCAAACCCCAUAGACCCAACAAGAUUAUUAGUGAUUGAGGGAGAGCUGGUUUCCCAGCAAAAGGGAUAUUUACAGGCAAAUACAUGUACCCCAUAGACUAACCCUACCUUCUGACUCAGCAAGAAUGCUUUGAGAGGCAUCUCUCACACCCAACCCCUAGCCCACUGAGGCAAGGGGCAGGAAGGGCAAUGGCCUUGGAAAAGCCACAUCCGCAUCACCCCUGCCCCCAUUCCCUUGUUUGUGAAAUGGGAGUAUAUCUAGCCACACGGGACCAAUGGGAAGAUUGAAUGAGAUCUCAUUUUUCUGAGUGCCUAGGACACAGUAAUGCUCGGUGAGUGCUAGUUAAUCUGAGCCUUUCUUAUUCAAAGAAUUAACACGAGCAAUUCUACCUCUGUAUUCGUCAAGCAGUUAUCAUCAGGAGACCAUGCUAGUGCAUUUAUAGAACUGCAUUUCUGCCACGAGUAAUAAUGAAGAAUCUUUUAUGCUAUUAACCUGUGUAAAUUUUAGAUUUUUUUAAAAUGGGAAGUCAUAUAGGUCACUCUGUUGUACCUGUAGCUAAUUGCAGCAUUAGCUAUCAAUUUCUCAUUGUUGGCUAAUUUAUCUUCAAAGACUCAAGAAUGCAAUUUGAGUAAUUACUACCUGUAUGCCAUAUUUCAUUUAUGGCAUCUAUGAGUCAUGAAUCUUCUUUCUCUAGCUGAAAACAUUGAAUGCAGUUAAUUCAAGAGGUCUGCCACAUAUGUUGUAGAACCAAACUUAAUGCAAAUUACAUAAAUGUGUGUUGUAUUUUAUGACUGCGUCCUGGAGUUCUCACAUGGAAUAUGGCGUCUCCUAGUAACCCUGGUGGAGGGGGGUGGGGAAGGAAGAGAGAACUGUGUUCUUCGUUCUUCACAUUAAUGAAGGUUUCAUUAAUUUUUUUCUUAAACUGGAGCUAGAAACCCUUGAAAUAUCUUUGCAAUGCAUUUCUCAAUGUUUUU